rnacentral:rRNA from 1 species
AAGGCUUCGGCCGGACAGGGAUGGGCAUGCGGCGCAUUAGGCAGUAGGCGGGGUAACGGCCCACCUAACCGACGAUGCGUAGGGGUUCUGAGAGGAAGGUCCCCCACACUGGUACUGAGACACGGACCAGACUCCUACGGGAGGCAGCAGUGAGGAAUAUUGGUCAAUGGUCGGGAGACUGAACCAGCCAAGCCGCGUGAGGGAUGAAGGUACAGAGUAUCGUAAACCUCUUUUGUCAGGGAACAAAGGCGGGGACGUGUCCCCGGAUGAGUGUACCUGAAGAAAAAGCAUCGGCUAACUCCGUGCCAGCAGCCGCGGUAAUACGGAGGAUGCGAGCGCUAUCCGGAUUUAUUGGGUUUAAAGGGUGCGCAGGCGGUCUGUUAAGUCAGCGGUCAAAGCCCGGGGCUCAACCCCGGCCCGCCGUUGAAACUGGCAGUCUCGAGUUGGAGAGAAGUAUGCGGAAUGCGCGGUGUAGCGGUGAAAUGCAUAGAUAUCGCGCAGAACUCCGAUUGCGAAGGCAGCAUGCCGGCUCCACACUGACGCUGAGGCACGAAAGCGUGGGUAUCGAACAGGAUUAGAUACCCUGGUAGUCCACGCAGUAAACGAUGAAUGCUGGCUGUCCGGGGGGGAUUGACCCCUGG